rfam:Candidatus Altiarchaeales archaeon WOR_SM1_79 WOR1_52_54_463451, whole genome shotgun sequence.
AUUCCAGUUGAUCCUGCUGGAGGCUACUGCUAUUGGGGUUCGACUAAGCCAUGCGAGUCAAAGGGUUAUGACAAUAACACUGGCGAAAGGCUCAGUAACACGUGGAUAACUUGCCCUCGGAAGGAGUAUAACCUCGGGAAACUGAGGCUAAUACACCAUAGGUGACAAGUACUGGAAUGUCUGUCACUUAAAAGGGGCCGUUGUUAUGUCCGACGGUCACCGUCUGAGGAUAGGUCUGCGGCGGAUUAGGUUGAUGGCGAGGUAAUGGCUCACCAUGCCUGCGAUCCGUACCGGCUAUGAGAGUAGGAGCCGGGAGAUGGGUACUGAGACACGGAUCCGGGCCUUACGGGGUGCAGCAGGCGCGAAACCUCUACAGAACCCCAAGUGCUUCUGUAAAACAGGAGCUUUUGUAGUGUGUAAAAAGCAUUACGAAUAAAGGCUGGGUAAGACCGGUGCCAGCCUCCGCGGUAAUACCGGCAGCUUAAGUGGUAGUCGUUUAUUGGGCUUAAAGCGUCCGUAGUCGGUUUGGCAAGUUCUCUGUGAAAUCCUGCAGCUUAACUGUAGGGCUUGCAGAGAAUACUACCAGACUUGAGGUCGGGAAGGGUCAGGGGUAUUCAUGGGGUAGCGGUGAAAUGUAUUGAUCCCAUGAGGACCACCUGUGGCGAAGGCGCCUGACUGGAACGAGCCUGACGAUGAGGGACGAAAGCUAGGGGAGCAAACCGGAUCAGAUACCCGGGUAGUCCUAGCCGUAAACGAUGUGGCCUGAAUGUUGCAGGAAUCUUCGUGUUUCUGCAGUGUUGAAGGGAAACCGUUAAGGCCACCGCCUGGGGAGUAUGGUCGCAAGUCUGAAACUUAAAGGAAUUGGCGGGGGAACACCACAAGGGGUGGAGUCUGCGGUUUAAUUGGAUACAACGCCGAGCAACUUACCAGGGGCGACAGCAGAAUGAAGGCCAGGUUGAAGAUCUUGCCGGACGCGCUGAGAGGUAGUGCAUGGCCGCCGUCAGCUCGUACUGUGAAGCGUGCGGUUAAGUCCGUUAACGAGCGAGACCCGUACCUCUAUUUGCAACCUAUGUCUAUCAGAUAUGGGGCACUAUAGAGGGACCGCUGGCGAUGAGUCAGAGGAAGGCGCGGGCUACGGUAGGUCUGUAUGCUCCGAAUCUCCUGGGCUACACGCGGACUACAAUGGCGCAAACAACGGGAUGCAACUCCGAAAGGAGCGAGCUAAUCUCUUAAAUUGCGUCCCAGUUCGGAUUGUGGGCUGUAACUCGCCCACAUGAAGCUGAAAUCCCUAGUAAUCGCUGGUCACUAUCUAGCGGUGAAUAUGUCCCUGUUCCUUGCACACACCGCCCGUCAAACCAAUCGAGUGGGUCCAAGGUAUCCGUAGGGGAAUCUGCGGAUGGAUCACCUCCA